rnacentral:rRNA from 1 species
ACGGGGUGCAGCAGGCGCGAAACCUUUGCAAUACACGCAAGUGUGACAGGGUCAUCCCGAGUGCCGACCGCUGAGGUUGGCUUUUACCCAGUCUAGAAAGCUGGGGGAAUAAGGAGAGGGCAAGUCUGGUGUCAGCCGCCGCGGUAAUACCAGCUCUCCGAGUGGUGUGGACGUUUAUUGGGCCUAAAGCAUCCGUAGCUGGCUGAACAAGUCCCCUGUUAAACCCACCGAUUUAAUCGUUGGCUUGCGGGGGAAACUGCUCGGCUAGGGGACGAGAGAGGCAGACGGUAUUCCCGGGGUAGGGGUGAAAUCCUAUAAUCCCGGGAAGACCACCAGUGGCGAAGGCUGUCUGCUAGAACGCGCCCGACGGUGAGGGAUGAAAGCUGGGGGAGCGAACCGGAUUAGAUACCCGGGUAGUCCCAGCUGUAAACGAUGCAGGCCAGGUGUUUGGACGGCCACGUGCCGUUCUAGUGCCGCAGGGAAGCUGUUAAGCCUGCCGCCUGGGGAGUACGAUCGCAAGAUUGAAACUUAAAGGAAUUGGCGGGGGAGCAC